GCAUCAGUGGUCCAGCGGUAGGAUAUUUGCCUUCCAUCGGUGUAUAUGCACUGGGCGAGCAAAUGGCUCGGGUUCGACUCCCGGCUGAUGCA